GUAGGUGAACCUGCGGAAGGAUCAUUAGAAAAUUGUCCCAAUAUGGGCAAUCAUAUCCAUAUCCACCUUGUGUGCACUGUAUUCUAAUGCUUUGGUAGGCCUUGGUCAACCUUGAAAGGGGAAGGCCAGCCAAUAGAUCAACCCGAGAGGAGCUUCCAAGUGAACUUGUUAGCGCCACUUGGGUCCCUAUAGGAGUUGUCUGCCAGAGUUUUUUUUCACAACUCUUCAAAAAUUAGUCUGAAACUUUAAA
rnacentral:misc_RNA from 1 species